CCUGUAAUGACGACAGGGGCAGCAUUGCUAAGCCUGGCAGUGCCCACGGCUGCUAGUCGUCUCAGCGCAGUGCUGCCCACUCUCCCACGCUAGCCUUGGCACUGGCGUACACCAUAGCGGCAUGCUAUCCGACAUCCGAAGGUGGGGUUCCUUUCCGGAAGACCCUGACUGUCUUUCCCAGGGAAAACCCACUCUUCCACCCAUGCAGGAUUCCUGAAAGGUCUUUCGCUGUUGGGCCUCUUGAAAGAUGGAGGAAGAGAGGAGGAUUCAUGUUUGCUUUUUAUACUCACACACUUCACAGGCUGGGCUGGAACGCCGACAGGGGGUACUGCAGCACUCUCAGCUCCCCUACUUCCCGUGGUUAUGGGCCUCCAAGGCACCUUAACAAGCAAAUUCAAGUGAAGACAUAACCUGACUUCAAUAAUUGUUUUGUUUUUUUUUCUCGGUAGAAAUGAAUUCGUAAUUUGAAAUAUGGACAGACGCCUUUUUUGAUUUUUUUCCAAACAAGGUCUACAAUACCUGGAGAAAGAUAUCUUUUAGAAUUUCCAUUCAUCUCAAUGGUGGUUGUUUUGCUGGUAUAUGACCCCUGAAAGUCAGGAUUCUGACAUUUGUUCGUUCAUAAGCACUCAAUUCCGCAUCCAUGAUUUUUGAGCUGUAAAUAACAUGUGACUAAUUAUUCUGUACUAGGUAUGUUAAUGAUUAAUCAAUAAUGGAUUAAUUGCUAGGAUAGAUAGAUAGGUAGAUAGAUAAAUAGGAGUUCAGUAAACAAUGCCAGCAGACGUUGAAAAGAGGGCGCAUUGCUUGCGCGCUGCAUGUCACGUCUUGUCCACAAUACCAAACAGACACGCAUCCUUCACGUCCUCUUGUAAAGAUGAAGCAGGCUCAAUAUAAUAAGUGUUGUAGAUUUUAAAUGAACAUUAUGUUUACUGCUUACACUGUAAACGUGUUUAAAAGUACAACAUGACAACAUGCACUGUUGAUCCGCUGGUCUCCUUAUUUCGUCUUAACCUACAAUUACAUCAGUGAUCACCAUGAGAGCAUGAAGGCAUAUUCACCUGACAUCUCAUUAUCAAAAGAGAAUCGGUACUUGUGCGCUUUGCAGUAUUAACGUUUACUAUUAAUCGAUUAAUUGAUUGUUAAUUUCCACAAAAAUCGAUUAUGAAAAUGUCUUAAAAUUGGCAUCCCUACUCAAACACUAUAAGCAUAGUCCCAAAUUCCUACACUAGCAACUAGCUGCUACGUGAAAAGGCAGCAGACCGGGUUAAUUUCAUGCUAAUGAGGGGGGAAAAUAAAUCAGCACCAGUAAAACAUUGACUAUAAAAUAAAUUGCAAAUAUUAUAUUACUCUGUAAAAAAAAAAUCAUAAUUUUAACAGUAAAAGACUGUAAAAAUUCUACAGUAAAAAAACUUUAAUUGCUUAAUGGGUAGUUACAGUACAUUACAAUAUACGGUAAAAUUUGUAAAUAUAUUUAAAAAGACAAUACAUGUGUCACGGAUCCUUCUGACCCACCUACCAAUUUCACUCAACCCUCUCACUCUCCUGAGUACUGAUCACCCACACCUGCCUCCAAUCACUGCAUCAAUCAACCCCUCUAUAUAAACAUCACUCCCCUUCCAUUCUGUGUCUGGUCUCAACUUCGUGUACAGACUCACUUACCUGUAUCUCCAGCAUUAAAUGCCAUCACGAUUCCUCUCUCCAGCGAGUCUUCUACUCCAAAUGUUUCCUCUCCAGCGACUCCAGUGUCCAUCUCCUCAAUGCAAGCUUCGUUGUUGCAAACCCUCCACCUCAAGGAAAGUCACCAUGUCUAUCAGCAUUAGUCGUCAUCACGUAAACUAUCACCACUGCAACCCAGUACUGUCACGUCAUCACUUACCUGCUGUCUUUGUUUGUGUGUCAAUAAAUACCUGCUUGGGUUCAAACAUCA